rnacentral:rRNA from 1 species
UACAGAGGCCUCGAGCGUUAGGCGGAAUCACUGGGCUUAAAGCGUGUGUAGGCGGAUCGUUAAGUACCUUGUGAAAUCCCACGGCUCAACCGUGGAACUGCUUGGUAUACUGGCGGUCUUGUGCAACCUAGGGGCGGACGGAACUUCCGGUGGAGCGGUGAAAUGCGUUGAUAUCGGAAGGAACGCCGGUGGCGAAAGCGGUCCGCUGGACCUCUACUGACGCUGAGGCGCGGAAAGCCAGGGGAGCAAAACGGG